AUUGAACGCUGGCGGCAUGCCUUACACAUGCAAGUCGAACGGCAGCAUGAUCUAGCUUGCUCGAUUGAUGGCGAGUGGCGAACGGGUGAGUAAUACAUCGGAACGUGCCCUGUAGUGGGGGAUAACUAGUCGAAAGAUUAGCUAAUACCGCAUACGACCUGAGGGUGAAAGUGGGGGACCGCAAGGCCUCAUGCUAUAGGAGCGGCCGAUGUCUGAUUAGCUAGUUGGUGAGGUAAAGGCUCACCAAGGCGACGAUCAGUAGCUGGUCUGAGAGGACGAUCAGCCACACUGGGACUGAGACACGGCCCAGACUCCUACGGGAGGCAGCAGUGGGGAAUUUUGGACAAUGGGCGAAAGCCUGAUCCAGCAAUGCCGCGUGUGUGAAGAAGGCCUUCGGGUUGUAAAGCACUUUUGUCCGGAAAGAAAUGGCUCUGGUUAAUACCUGGGGUCGAUGACGGUACCGGAAGAAUAAGGACCGGCUAACUACG
rnacentral:rRNA from 1 species